AACGAACGCUGGCGGCAUGCCUAACACAUGCAAGUCGAACGAAGCCUUCGGGCUUAGUGGCGCACGGGUGCGUAACGCGUGGGAAUCUGCCCUUGGGUUCGGAAUAACAGUUAGAAAUGACUGCUAAUACCGGAUGAUGUCUUCGGACCAAAGAUUUAUCGCCCAAGGAUGAGUCCGCGUAGGAUUAGGUAGUUGGUGGGGUAAAGGCCUACCAAGCCGACGAUCCUUAGCUGGUCUGAGAGGAUGAUCAGCCACACUGGGACUGAGACACGGCCCAGACUCCUACGGGAGGCAGCAGUGGGGAAUAUUGGACAAUGGGGGAAACCCUGAUCCAGCAAUGCCGCGUGAGUGAUGAAGGCCUUAGGGUCGUAAAGCUCUUUUACCAGGGAUGAUAAUGACAGUACCUGGAGAAUAAGCUCCGGCUAACUCCGUG
rnacentral:rRNA from 1 species